GCCGCCCUAGCUCAGCUGGUAGAGCAAUUCAUUCGUAAUGAAUAGGUCAUCGGUUCAAGUCCGAUGGGUGGCU
rnacentral:tRNA from 1 species